rnacentral:rRNA from 1 species
UACGGAGGGGGCUAGCGUUGUUCGGAAUCACUGGGCGUAAAGCGCACGUAGGCGGACUCUUAAGUCGGUGGUGAAAUCCUGGAGCUCAACUCCAGAACUGCCUUCGAUACUGGGAGUCUCGAGUCCGGGAGAGGUGAGUGGAACUGCGAGUGUAGAGGUGAAAUUCGUAGAUAUUCGCAAGAACACCAGUGGCGAAGGCGGCUCACUGGCCCGGUACUGACGCUGAGGUGCGAAAGCGUGGGGAGCAAACCGG